UACGUAGGGUGCAAGCGUUGUCCGGAAUUAUUGGGCGUAAAGAGCUCGUAGGCGGCCACUCAAGUCGAAUGUGAAACCUCGAGGCUCAACCUCGAGCCUGCAUUCGAUACUGGGCGGCUAGAGUCUGGUAGGGGGAUCUGGAAUUCCUGGUGUAGCGGUGGAAUGCGCAGAUAUCAGGAAGAACACCGGUGGCGAAGGCGGGUCUCUGGGCCACUACUGACGCUGAGGAGCGAAAGCGUGGGGAGCGAACAGG
rnacentral:rRNA from 1 species